AAAUAUUGGUAGCUCACAGGGUGACGCCCAU
rnacentral:sRNA from 1 species